CCAACAGGUUCAUGAACCAACGUGGAUAACUUCACUCACCUCAGCCUAUGAUUCCACAACCUAUGGACUCACUUUCAAGGACUCUACAGUUCAGACUUGGAAGAAAAAGAGAAUUCAACCCAAGAGGAACAGGACAAAAAAAAAGAAAGAGAAAGGUCUGGUGGUGUUUGCUGAAGAAAAUGGUGCCAAUGAUUCGCCCUGAUCAAGGCAAUCUCCGAGGAUGUGAAUUUCCCAGCUUGGCAUAUUUCAAGACAUCCCAAAGUCACAAGCAUAUUUUCUGAUAUCAGAAACAUCAUCUUCAGGUGCAAUGAGAUAUAAGGCAGCAAAGUAAUUGCAGUAACUUUAUCAAUGGAUUUCUUUCCGAAUGUUUGGCCUGCAGAUACAGUUUCAUUAAUAAAUAUUGGCCCACCAUACUUUAUUUCUUGGAUAGUGACAAUGAAAUUUUCAACAUUGAACAGAUCAGUAUGACUCACAUCUCCAGCAUACCAUUGUGAAUAACAUCAUCUUAUCUUCCAUAGUUACAAUUUAAUAUUUAAGGAUGGAAUGGGGAACUGAAAGAAUUGUUUUUGUAGAAUUUUAUCCACCUUGUCCACAGGCCAACAGUAUUCAUAAACAAUUCUGUAGUGUGUGAGUGGCUGAUCAAAAUAGAAAGAUUUUGCCCAAGUUGUACAAAAGAGUUCAGAACAUGUGCUAGUUUAAUUCUAUUUUCCUUUACUCUUCCCCUGUUAUAUUUGAGCCAACAUCUCUCUUUGGUCAAUCCUGCAUGAUUCACAGACCUGAAAGAGAAAAUAAAUUUGAUACACCAAACAUCCAAAUGGAUCUACAUUGAACUCUAAUUAACCUCGUUGUUUUGAGGAUCGUUGUUACUGAAAUUAGCUUUUUAUUCCAUUUUAUUAAAAUAAUUGAAUUUGAGUGAGGUUUAUCGCAUGAUCAUUGAUCAAGGCUCCCCAGUUACACAACCAGAAAUAUUGACGCACAGCCAUACAUUUUUCCCUCUGAGAUUGUCUGUGUGAAGCAUGUUCCAAACUAAUUGGAGCACUGGUUCUGAGUCACUGCAUAAUGAAAACAGACGAAAAGCCCCUUUUGUAACAUCCCUUGAAAUUUCCUUUAAUUAUCCUUUCUAACUGGAAGAUUCUUUCUAUCAAAUCCAACAUUAUUUUGGUUCCAACAUUUCAUUAACAUUUUCCAGCCGGAGGGAUAUGUAUUUUCAGUUCGUAGUAUCCACAAAAAGUUACAAUAUGAAGAUCUAUGUUUGACUGUGUUAACUUUGCCUGAGUGAUGUCUCCUGCAAUGACUCAGUGAAGUUAUCCAGUGAGCAUUUGAGUCACACAGACCAGGAAGCUCCCUGGCUCAAUCCCUAGCCUAGAUCAAAAUAAUUAAUCUCAGCCAAGGCAAAAGCAGAACAAAAAGCUCAUGCAUUCUGGACUAAGGAGUGGAAACUCAGAAAAAUUAAAUUCAGCUGUAUAGUGAAUAUGAUAUACUGAUUAAAAACUAAUAACUCCCUCAUGGAAUUGCAUGCCUAUUGAUCUUGGGUGAGAACAUCCUUGGGCAUGGCUGUAAUGUUCCCAUGAAUAAAUAGGCUGUUGAUAUUCUCAGGCAAGUUCAACUGUGUUCUUUCAUUUUGCAGGACUCGUCAACAUUGGCACUAACUUCCAUUUGUAAUUUCUAGCGACAGGUGAGAGACACACUAGGGGUGGUGAAGUGGGGAUAUAUCUCUACUAAAGGGGCUGCAAGGCACUCCUUCCCUCUGCUAGCCUGCAGGUCAGCCUUGGGCAAGGUGUAACACCUGCUUAGACUCUCUGAUCAGGGUCAUGUGAAGUCAUGGAAGCAGUGGAUGGUCGAAUGAGCAGCUGGUGCAUAUCACAAGUCCGGGUUAUGUGACCACUGACGCCAGGCAGACAAACUCUGAAGAGUAUUGAUAAUGGUCAGGGUCAUCCAUCUUGUAAAGACACUACCCAGAAGGCAGCAAUGGUAAAUCACUUUUGUAGAAAGAUUUGCCAAGAAGAAUCACGGUCAUGGAAAGACGAUGAUCAUCAACAUCGUAUGACACGGCACAUAACGAAUGAACAAGUGGGAGGUACUAUAUGAAGAACUGCAGGCUAUCAUUGUUAUUCUGCACAUGGUGUUUAUUGAAGGUAGACUACCUGGUCAGUGGAGAGACGGGUCAGAUCAGCAAGUGACUGGUUAGAUGAGCAGUUACGUAAUAAGCCCUUUCCACAAUGGCUGGAGUAUUGUGCCAUAGCUUACUCUGUUGCCAACACUGGUUUAGAGCAUGGAGACUAUUCUAUCCAACAUGGGCUGAGAGAUUAGCUUUAUAAACAGGGCUUGGCACACACCAUUGAGAGCGUCUGUCAUGGAACUCAGUGAUAAGCAAUAAGGCCAACACCUAACUAUACCCUCAUGUAACAGAGUGUUGUGAUACUUUUUUGGGAGACUGAAUUUGGUUCUAUAAUAUCCAAUUGCAUUCCACUUUCUGAGUGUUAGAAAGCUUAUCUUGUCCACAACAGAUGGGUCAGGGAUAUUGAUCUAAUUUCACAAAAGGGUGAAGUAUACUAAAGCACUGUGCCGGAGAUCUAUAUGGAAAUAUCUAAACAGUCUGAUUAUUUCUAGUGUGCAAUUUAAUAGGGUUGAUUGUUCCAACUUCUCACACUUGCUGUGAGAGACUGGCAAAUAUGUACCACUAUCUUAAUCAGAAGAGAUUGUGCAGAUGCUGAAAAUUCAGAAUAACACUCACAACAUGCUAAAGGAACUCAGCAGGUCAGGCAGUAUUUAUGGAGAGGAAUAAAGAGUCAAUGGUUUGGACUGAGAGUUCGGACCAUCCUGUUGAAGGAUCUUGGCCCAAAUCAACUCAUUAUUCAUCUCCACAAAUGCUGCAUAGUUUGCCAGCAUCGUGUGUAUGUGUUACUAUGUGCCACAAUCUCAUUAGCUCCCUACAGUUUGGUUUAAUGUCUAUAAGAUGGGUGAGAAGUUUUGCCACUACACUGGCUAUACAUGUAUGAUCACAAAACUCAUCAGAAGGCAGAUCAUUCUCAACUUAUUGUUGACAUAGGAGCAGAGAUACAUGUAGCAUGGAAACAGGCACUUCAGCCCACCAAAUGGUGGCAUGUUAGUGUAGUGGCUAGUAGAGUGCUGUACAGUGCCGGAGACCUGGGUUCCAUUCCUGCCGCUGCCUGUAAGGAGUUUGAACAUUCUCCUUGUGACCACAUCGGUUUUCUCUGGGCGCUCCAAUUUCCUCCCACAGUCCAAAGAUAUACCAUUUGGUAGGUUAAUUGGUCAUUGCAAAUUGACCCAUGAUUAGGCUAGGGUUAAAUCGGAAAUUGCAGGCCAGCCUGUUGCAUGCUAUAUCUCAAUAAGUAAAUAAAGUCUGCAUUUAACAUUCCACUUAUACCAGACCAAUAUUAAUCCUGUGGUUUCUUAAUUUUCUUCACAAUGCACAAUAAGAAACUAAGAAUGCUGAAUAAAAAUUAUAAGAUUCUGAAUGUUUUAAAAUGUCUCUUUCAGCUGUGGGUUAUUUCAUCAGAUCUAUUGCAUUGGGGAAUAGGAAACUUUAUGUUGUGUGUGUGAAAGAAACCCUAGCUGACAACAGAAAAAAUAGAGUUGACGAGCAUGUGUGUGUUUGUGGAAGACUUUCGCUUAUGAAUAGGAUCCUAAUACAGUAGAUGUGGCAUAGCACUAACCAGUUAAAAAUAAUACCGGGCUGGGUUAUGAGCAAAACUUGUCUAAUUGCCCGAAGUCUUUGUAAGCUACUAAUGUCACAAAAUAAUAAAAAUGAGGAGGGUAUAGCAAAAAGAGUACCAUUUGACAAACAGGAAAUUACGUGCAGAAGAAAUAAGAAUCUGUUGGAUCUCCCUAUAUUAGAAGCAUGUUGCAAACCAUUUUUCUAUUUUUAUGUAAAAAUGGAAACUAUAAUGAGAUAAUUUCAAAGUGGAGUAAUUUCUAAAAGAUUCAUAGAGUUUCCAAUAAUCUUUAAACUGAUUUCUGGUCUUUGCAAGAAUGAACUCUUAAAAAUUAAACUCCAAUUUUGGAAAAUAAUAUAAUCUCUUGUUUCACAGUUUAUUAUCCAAUUAAUCAGUUAAGUUCACUAACUUUUAAAAUAGAGAAUCUUUUGCAUGGUGCUGAUGCAUAUUAAUUUCCCUGGAACUGCUGGGGAAUUAUUUAUUGAGGCAAUGCUCAAUACCACUCAUGUGGUAGAUUGUAUUGACUGAUUGAUGUCAACAAAGCUUGUAAUUUUUCAGACAUGUUAUUUGUGUCAAA